CAACGGCCGCGGUACCCUAACCGUGCGAAGGUAGCAUAAUCACUUGUUCUUUAAAUAAGGACUAGUAUCAACGGCACCACGAGGGCUAUACUGUCUCCUUUCUCCAAUCAGUGAAACUGAUCUCCCCGUGAAGAAGCGGGGAUUAAUAUAUAAGACGAGAAGACCCCAUGGAGCUUUAAACUCAUCAUACACCUCUGUUUAUCUACAUCACCAUAUCCUAAAAGACUUGUAUGCUAGUUUUAGGUUGGGGGGACCGCGGAGUAAAAAUUAACCUCCACGACAAAUGGGCUACSUUAUCUAAGAACGACAGUUCUAAGAAUCAACAAACUGAUGUUUAAUGACCCGAAUAAUCGAUCAACGAACCAAGUUACCCUGGGGAUAACAGCGCAAUCUACUUCAAGAGCCCCUAUCGACAAGUAGGUUUACGACCUCGAUGUUGGAUCAGGGUAUCCCAGUGGUGCAGCCGCUACUAAAGGUUCGUUUGUUCAACGAUUAAAACCCUACGUGA
rnacentral:rRNA from 1 species